AGUGAACGCUGGCGGUAGGCCUAACACAUGCAAGUCGAACGGCAGCACAGUAAGAGCUUGCUCUUACGGGUGGCGAGUGGCGGACGGGUGAGGAAUACAUCUGAAUCUACUUUUUCGUGGGGGAUAACGUAGGGAAACUUACGCUAAUACCGCAUACGACCUACGGGUGAAAGCAGGGGAUCUUCGGACCUUGCGCGAUUGAAUGAGCCGAUGUCGGAUUAGCUAGUUGGCGGGGUAAAGGCCCACCAAGGCGACGAUCCGUAGCUGGUCUGAGAGGAUGAUCAGCCACACUGGAACUGAGACACGGUCCAGACUCCUACGGGAGGCAGCAGUGGGGGAUAUUGGACAAUGGGCGCAAGCCUGAUCCAGCCAUACCGCGUGGGUGAAGAAGGCCUUCGGGUUGUAAAGCCCUUUUGUUGGGAAAGAAAGGCAGCAGGUUAAUACCCCGCUGUUCUGACGGUACCCAAAGAAUAAGCACCGGCUAACUUCGUG
rnacentral:rRNA from 1 species